UCGCCGUUGCAAUGGGGCAACGCGCCCACGC
rnacentral:sRNA from 1 species